GGGAUGGACCUGAAUGGUGCACAUGCCAUCAAUGUCAGGACAUGCCGACCGACCUUGAGAGGAAGUGUUGUGGUGGAGGGCCAAGGUCAUGCCUAUCUAGACUUCCAGACGUCCAGGAGCCUGGGGAAGACAACAGAGAGUUCCGGCAUGCUGCCUACAGACAGUUUGUGCUGUGGCAGUAUGGGCGCCUGGGAGAGGGCAAUAGAGUUGUGAUACCCAGUUGUUGUGUGUGGAGGAUCAGAAACACUUUUCCUGACCCACAAGGCCAAUACAAAGGUUACCGACAAACCCGACUGUAAUAUCUACCUACCUACCCUACAAUAACAGAAAACUAUGACAAUCCCAUAAAAGUUGAAGACUCCCCUGCAGACUCAUCUAUCCUGGACCUGUGCUCCAGGACCAGCACAUUGGUUGGGACUGGUGGCACUCUGGGCAGAAGACCGAGCCUCCUAGGAUCAGUCUCUGACAUUGGCUGCUUCCUGCUCAUUCCCUUUCCCAAGUCAAUCCUUUCAUCCAAGAUUUGGGACUGCAGGUCUGUGAUGUAUGUGUAUUUCUUUGGCUCCCUCGAAACGUAGAUAGACCACCUAUCUGACUUCUUCUGGAAGCGUCUCUUGUACCUAAAGACAUAAACAGUGUACCUCAUUUCUAUGUCAGUUUUAAGGGGGCAACAUUGAAAAGUAAAUAAUAGGUGUUCUGCACAUAACUGCUUUAACCAUUGAGUCAGCGGAGUGACAUAGGCAAGAGAAAACAUAUGUACUUACUUGAUAUCCCCAUCUUUUGUCUUCCACACUGCCCUGUCUUUGUGCUCGUAGUAAUCUAGGGCUGCCAACUUGCAACGGGCUUCGUAGACUGGGGGGCUGAAACCAUACCUCUUUGAGGCAUACAUCAGGAUGUGGUUUUGGAACGACUCCAGAUCAGAGGUUGUUCUGUUUUUUGCUCCGUGCCAGACAUCCAGUGAAUGGAAGAUGUCCUUCAUGCCAUACUUCCCCUUGUCAGCGUCUGUUAAUGAGAAAUAAAAAUAAUGUUCCC